CCUGCAUAGAGGGGAGGGGGUCAAUGUCACACAGAAGGGUGGGACUCAGCUCUGCAUCAGAGUGGCCCGGAAAGGAAAGGGGUCAAUGGGACAUGUAGAAGGAAGGAUGCUAGUCACACAUUGUGGGGAAGGGACCAGUGGAAAGAACUGAGAGGCCAGGGAAGAAACUUGGGAUGAAUUUGAACUCCACAGAAGGUCUGCUUGACGCCUGCUUUGGAAUUCUUUUCCCUAGAUGAGGUGGAUAAAGCUCAGAUCCCUGCUCAUCUUCCCAUAGGGCCGGCCUCGUCAGACUGAGGUUUCCGUGCCUACUGACAGAGGUGGGCGGCUGCGACUGAUGAACCUGCUUUCACACUGAGGGUCCAGAGUGGAAGGAGAUGCCCCUAGAUGAUAGACUUCUGUAGAAUCUGUAUCCUCGGAUCUCCUGCCUGCACCUUCUUCACCUGCUGUUCAGAAUCCCCAAGCAAGGCAUAAGUUCUGUCCCUGUCUUGUGCCUGUUAGUUUCCAUCCAUAUCCUCAGCGCAGGAUUCAGACAUCAGCAUGAAUUGUAUCCUGUUAACCUUGCUGAUGGUGACUGGUGGUGUUUCAUUUGUUAGUGAAGACAUAGAAGGGUUAAAUCACCUUCUCUACUUAUUUUACCUGAAUUCCAGUUAUCGGUCCUGUGUGGGGACUCUGAUUGCCCCUCAGUGGGUGUUGACGGCUGCACACUGCUUCUUACCAGAUCUUUGGGUCAUCUUUCAUGAUAGUUCCGCAAAUCUUCGAGACUUUCAUGGGGAGAUUUUACCUUAUGAGAAGAUCAUUAUUCACCCAAACUUCACUGCCACCUCUCCUAAAAAUGACCUCAUGCUGAUAAAGUUGUCUGUACCUUUCACUUUCUUCUCCACCAAUAUGUUUCAGUUGCCUACUCUCAAGAAUGCAGUUAAAGAUUGCUUGAUUCACACCUGGUUACAGACUAAAGACUUUGUUGGAAAUUCACAUAGUAAGCUGCAAAGUGUCACGGCUCAAUUGAACUUUAAUGUAAACUGCAAAAAAAUACUGGGUGAAAAACUUCUUGAAGGCAUGUUCUGUAUGGGACCCAUGCUAGGAAGUCAGGAUCACUGCCAGGUCUUCUUACUUGGUGUGCUUCUAAGUUUUGAUGGGGCAGAUUUUCCAGCAUCCCUCUAACAGAGAAGUCAUAAAAGGAGCACCUGCUUAUUUAUAUGAAUACAUUUCUCUAACUGGAAGAUAUUUGUGUUCCAUGGUUCAUAUCUUUUGUCAUUCAUGCCUGUCCUCAUGGACUGUAUUCCCCAAUGAAUAGCUGGUAAGUCCUUGGCCUCCUGAGGAAACCAAGCUAAGAAAUACUGCUUAAGUGUCACUCUUUAAUUUUUACUACUAAACAACUCAUUUAAAUCAUAUAAGAACUCCCUAGGGUAACUACUAUUAUUACUCAAGGAACUCUGGCACAGAGACAAUAAGUGACUUACCCAAAGUCACAUUGUUAGUAUGCAAAGGCCUAGGAUCCAAACCUAGGCAGUCUGGCUCCGGUUUAUUCUCUUAACCACUAUGCUAGAUAGCCUACAGUGCUACAUCAUGAAAUGCUAAUUGUUUAUCUUUAUCUGAGCUACUUGUUAUUUAUUCUUAUAUCAGUCAGGAUAGUCUAGGUUAUGUUGUGGUAAAAGUAGUCUCAAGAUCCCUGUAUCCCACAACAACAAAUGCUUGUUUUUGUUCCCAUUAUUUGUCUGCUAUGGGUCAGUUGCUCCUCUGCUCCCUAUCAUCUUUAUUUUAGUUAAGGCUAAUGGGGCAGUCUCUAACUGGGACUUGGCUGGUCUUGAGAUAGUGGGAAAAGAGUAUGGCAAAUCAUGGUCAGAUUCACCAAAGUAAGGGACCAGGCCAAACUUGCUGUCAGUGUUAAU